GAUGAACGCUGGCGGCGUGCCUAAUACAUGCAAGUCGAGCGAACGGACGAGAAGCUUGCUUCUCUGAUGUUAGCGGCGGACGGGUGAGUAACACGUGGAUAACCUACCUAUAAGACUGGGAUAACUUCGGGAAACCGGAGCUACUACCGGAUCAUAUUUUGAACCGCAUGGUUCAAAAGUGAUACACGGUCUUGCUGUCACUUAUAGCUGGAUCCGCGCUGCAUUAGCUAGUUGGUAAGGUAACGGCUUACCAAGGCAACGAUGCGUAGCCGAUCUGAGAGGGUGAUCGGCCACACUGGAACUGAGACACGGUCCAGACUCCUACGGGAGGCAGCAGUAGGGAAUCUUCCGCAAUGGGCGAAAGCCUGACGGAGCAACGCCGCGUGAGUGAUGAAGGUCUUCGGAUCGUAAAACUCUGUUAUUAGGGAAGAACAUAUGUGUAAGUAACUGUGCACAUCUUGACGGUACCUAAUCAGAAAGCCACGGCUAACUACGUG
rnacentral:rRNA from 1 species